rfam:Tupaia chinensis contig96691, whole genome shotgun sequence.
GGCCAGUUAUCUCAGCUGGUUAGAGCAUGGUGCCAAUAACACCAAGGUCAUGGGUUCAAUCCCCGUAUGGGCCA